rnacentral:misc_RNA from 1 species
UUUCCGUAGGUGAACCUGCGGAAGGAUCAUUACUGAGUUAGGGUCUUUAUGGCCCGACCUCCAACCCUUUGUUUAAUCUACCAUGUUGCUUUGGCAGGCCCGCUUAGAAAUGGGCCGCCGGAGACCUUUGAGUCUCUGGUCAGUGCCCGCCAGUAGCCUUUCUAAAUUCAUUUAUAACCGUGUCUGAAUAUACAAAGAAAAAUUAAAAUAAAACUUUCAACAACGGAUCUCUUGGUUCUG